UACGUAGGGUGCGAGCGUUGUCCGGAAUUACUGGGCGUAAAGAGCUCGUAGGUGGUUUGUCGCGUUGUCCGUGAAAACUCACAACUCAAUUGUGGGCGUGCGGGCGAUACGGGCAGACUGGAGUACUGCAGGGGAGACUGGAAUUCCUGGUGUAGCGGUGGGAUGCGCAGAUAUCAGGAGGAACACCGGUGGCGAAGGCGGGUCUCUGGGCAGUAACUGACGCUGAGGAGCGAAAGCAUGGGGAGCGAACAGG
rnacentral:rRNA from 1 species